AUGAGUCUGAGUCAGGGCCCUGUGACCAGCGCCUCUGCCCUCAAGCAGACACGAUCCUGACCAAGAAACUGCCCCAGAGGACAACGCCACCAGCCCACCCUGGUGGCUGCUCCACACGUCCGAAGCGUGGACGAGAAGGUCAAGGCAGGAACCUCAGCCGCGUCUCGCCAUGGUGGAAAGCAACCUAGAUCGUUCUCGGCCUCUGUAUCAGCUCCCCAGAUCCUGCAUGUUAGAACCGUGGUUGUCAACCUUGAAUUUCUAUCAGAUGAAAUUCCAAGAGCUUCAGAUUCAGCAGUUAGGUUGGGGCCCAAGAAUUUGCGUUUCUACCGAGUUCCUGCUUCUAGGAUGUUCUGAUGUUGGGCCGGGCGCGGUGGCUCACGCCUGUAAUCCCAAGACAGGCAGAUCACAAGGUCAGGAGAUCGAGACCAUCCUGGCUAACACGGUGAAACCCCGUCUCUACUAAAAAUACAAAAAAUUAGCCGGAGGUGGUCACAGGCACCUGUAGUCCCACUUACUCGGGAGGCUGAGGCAGGAGAAUCGCUUGAACCCGGGAGGCAGUUACAGUGAGCAGAGAUGGUGCCACUGCACUCCAGCCUGGGCUACAGAGUGAGACUCCGUCUCAAAAAAGCAAGAAAAUUGUGAUGUUGCUGAUUGGUGGGCCAAACUUUCCUGAGAACCACUGCAUUGAACAAGGAGAUGAUCUGAGACAGGUGAAACCAGUGGAAUGAAUGUUUAAGAAACGUGCAAGCUUGGGAAAAAAGGCCAGCAACUUGGAACGAUCAAUCAAAAGGAUGUUUGGGAAGCUUAUCACCUCCACCUCUUGUUUGGUUUUUUUGUUUGUUUGUUUGUUUGUUUGUUUGUUUUUGAGACAGUCUCGCUCUCUCACCCAGGCUGGAGUGCAGUAACAUGAUCUAGGCUCACUGCAGCCUCUGCCUCCCGGGUUCAAGGAUUCUCCUGCCUCAGCCUCCAGAGUAGCUGGGACUACAGGCAUGUGCCACUGUGCCAGACUAAUUUUUGUAUUUUUCUUUUCUUUUUUAGUAGAGACGGUUUCACCAUGUUGGACAAGCUGGUCUCAAACUCUUGACCUCAGGUGAUCUGCCCGCCUUGGCCUCCCAAAGUGCUGGAAUUACAGGCAUGAGCCACCAAGCCCAGCCUCUCCUCCACCUCUUAAGUGUUUUCAAGGGAUAUGAUUAGCUGCCGAGGUGGAGCUGAUAUCUGAGCGAGGCUCUCGAGGACACAUUCUGGAUAGAUCUCCAUAUGGGAGUUGGAUAACUGCCACCAGCCAGUCUUGGCAGUCCCCAGAAUUCUUCUGAAGUGGACAGUGGAAGAAGUGAAACAUUUGCCUGGCAGCUGGCAUCAAUGCAGUCUCUCUCUGGAUAUGCAGAAGAAAAGGUUCAAAAGGAACUGAACCCAAUCCAGUCUUUAUAUGAUUUUAGAUGGAAUUAAAACAUUUUUGUGGAUCUCUACAAGUAUUGCCAGCAUUGCACCUGCCACACCUGAUAGGUAAGUCAGCUCUGGAGAACUUAGAGAUACAGAGUAAUAACCACUAAAAAUAUACAGAGAGAUUUGAUUAAAUAUUUAUAUCAAUGUGAGCCAACGUAGGUACGUUAAAAUAGCAAAGAUUGGAUGCAGUGAUCAUGGAAAUUUUAUGAUUCAAGACAAAGGUGGUUUCUUUAGGGUGCUGGCAUAUACUUACUGAGUUUAGUGCUUACUAAACUUACUGUAUGCUAGGCUGUUCUGAAUAAUAUGUUUAGGCUUUUAUUAAGUCCUCAUAAGGUACAUUCAAGUAUAUAAAGUACCUCCAAAUGUACUUUUAUUAUCCUCAAUCUACAGAUAAGGACAAGAGGCAGAGAGAGUUAAAUAACUUGCUAAAUAGUGUAGGGCCCAGGUUUUUAAGCAUCCUGCUAAACUGAGGAAAGACUGUUUAUUACGUGAAUGAAAACACUAUAUUCAUUCAUUCAUUGGUCAUUAUUUCAGUUCCUUAUUUCAGUUAUUAAUUACCAAUUCACUUUGUGUGUGUGAGAGACGGGUCUCGCUCUGUUACCCAGGCUGGAGUGCAGUGGUGCGAUUUCAGCUCACUGCAACCUCCGCCUCCCAGGCUCAAGCGAUCCUGCCACCUCAGCCUCUGAAGUAGCUGGGACUACAGAUGCGUGCCACCAUGCCCAGCUAAUUUUUGUAUUUUUUGUAGAGACGAGGUUACGCCAUGUUGGCCAGGCUGGUCUCCAACUCCUGAACUCAACCAAUCCUCUCACUGCAGCCUCCCAAGGUGGUGGGAUUACGGGCAUGAGCCACUACACCCCACCUGUUAAUUGCAUCUUUAUCUCAGUAGGUUGAAGUAUAUUUAUACAGCCUCUGCUCUGUGUCAAGUACUGAGCUGAGCUCAGCAGUUGCAAUGGCAGGAACACAGACCUGGCCCUAUUCCUUAUAUGGCUGACUCUCUAGUGGGAAAUAUGGACAUUAAACAAACGACCACCUAAAUAUAACACUGCAAACGGGAGUUCAUGGCAUGAACCAUGGAAUGCUAUCAAAGCACUGGGAUCCCAAUCUAAUCUGGGCAUCAGAGAAAGCUUCUCUGAGGAAUUAAAAUUUGGAUGAGGUCUCAAUAAUUAAUGUAUUAGGCAAACAGUAGGAGCAAGGAUGUUCCAGGCAGAGACCAACAACAUGGGUCAGGUGCACAGGACAUAAACCGAGCCAUCAAGAAGCUUCCAAUAUGAAAAGAGAAUAAACCCAUAGAGACAAGCAAUGAAGUGCUGCCAUGAGACAGAUGUGUGGGGCAUUUGAACAAUGGGAAAGUGCUGGUAGGAGAGAGGUGGUGUUCAAGUCAAUGAAAGCAAUGUAGGAUGAGAUCUGUAAGGAAGACUAGAUAAGCCAAGAGGCAUGCAGAGGAUCUUAUCCAUUUUAGAGCCCUGGGGGCUAUUUACUGGAGUAGCUGAAGAUGGCACUGUGGACACAGACUGAAAAGGAAGAAAUUUCUAUGAGCUCCAUGUGAGGCUUCAUAGAUGAGACCUAUGGAGCCAACCAAGAUCAUAUCCUGACACAGUGGUCAAAAUAAAGAAGCAAGUGUGAGCAGCGGUGAGGUGAUGGCUCAUUUAAAGAAAAGCCAUGCCCUGCAGACUGGUCCCAACUAGAGAACCCUUUCUCUAAUUGUCUGAAGAAUCCCUUUGGCAGGCUGUGUAAUACGCAUGACUCCAAUCUCUUGAAGUCUCUAGAUGGAGGCCACAUCCCAUUGCCUUUGCAAAACAUCCUCUUUAUCCAUGGAUGUUGAUACUGGAGAACUUAACAGAAAGAACUUCAUUCGUUCUGUGAAGAUUAGUGAAGCUCAUAUUAUUAUCUGACUACAGAACUGCUCAAUGUUCAUCCCAAAAAAGUAAGACUCCCUUAAAUAUCUGCAUAAGAUUCAUUUUCUAUGUUUUAUUUUCCUAAUUUUCUUCAAAGAAGACAUGUUACUUUUAUUAAUAAAAUAUUAAAAAUGUAAACCAGGGAAUCAGGGAAGGAAAAUGGCAGAUAGGAGGCAGGACUAAAUUGCAGCUGACACUCAGAGGGACAGAGCAGCAUGUGGAGACUCACGUUGUGAAUUUUUGCUCCAGAACUACUACUGCAGGAUUAUACCAGGAAAGCCAAGAGAAUCCACAGACCCUCUGAAGGAAGUAGAUUGCUCCUGCAGGACCCAGGAGACAGCCCAAAUACUACACAGCAAGAAGGUGCAAUCUAUGAACCAGAAAGUGGGCCCUCACCAGACACUGAAUCAGCUGGUGUCUUGACCUUGGACUUCCCAGCCACCAGAACUGCCAGAAAUAAAUUUCUAUUUUUUAUUAGUUAAAAAAAGUAAGCUAUAUAAAUUAUUCAUUAACAUAUGAAGCAAAAUGGAAUCAUAAAAAUGAAACAUUCAUUACAAUUUUUUGGAAACUACUAUUUGUUUUGUUUUGUUUUUGAGACUAAGCCUCGCUGUGUUGCCCAGGCUGGAGUGCAGUGGCUGUUCACAGAUGUGAUCAUGGCAUGCUGCAUCCCAAACUCCUGGCCUCAAGUGAUCCUCCUGCCUCAGUCUCAUGAAGAGUUGGGACUACAGGAGUGCACCACCACACCCAGCCUCGUUUGUUUUUGAAGAUAAGAUCCAUAUCUGAAUUUUUUAAAUCAGUGACUGAGCAACAUAAAACAUGAGUAUUUCCCAGAUUGCCCUUCUUUUGUUGAAAAUGUUAAAAAGUGAUCUUAAAUUUAUGGAUACAUAUAAAACACUAAGAUUUCUCCAUUUGAUUCAUGUACUUCAUAAUAGCUUGUGACAUGCUCAAAAUAACGUUUUUUUCAAUUAUUUCAUAUGCUCUUUUAAAAAUCACAUUUUAUUGAAUUUAUUCAUUCAUUCAUUUUGAACACCUAACAUAUACUAAUAAAUGUGCCAAGUCCAGAAGAUUCAAGGCUGAGUCAGAGGACAUCCUUGACUUUAAAAAGCUGAUGGUCUAGAAGAGCCAAGCCUACAUGAAAAUAAACGCAAUAACGACCAAAAGCACAAUUAUCGAAAUAUGUGCAGGGUAGAGGUGCUGAGCAGUGGGGAGAUACAGAAUAACUAAUGCCUAUUAGCUGCUUCUGUAUGUAUGUCAGGUAGUGUUCUAAAUGCUUACAUAUAUUAGCUCAUCGCCAACCUGUUAUCGUUUCCAUUAUCAUAUUGUUACACUCAUUUUACAGAUGAGGGACUGAGACAAAGAGUGGUUGCCUAGCUUGCCCAAAGUCACUCAGCUAUACCUAGUGGCAGAACCAGGAUUUAAAUAAAUGUAGGCCACUGGGCUUAUGAACUGUGUGCUCUCAACCUCUACACAUUUGCUGUCCGGACUGCCCAGCAGACUGUUUAGGAAGAAAUGCAAAGCACUUUAAGCAGAGAGAGCAGCUUGGGCAAGGGCACUAGUGCAGGAAAGACACAAGCACCUUGUGGAGUCAAGCAGAUAGGAUACCAGAAGGCUGAGGAAUAUGCCACAUUGUGGGGAGGCUUGGAUCAGUUUUGGUAGACAAUGAGAGGUCAUUGAAGGAUUUUAGUCAGAGGAGUGAUGGGGCAGAUGUUUCUUAAAAAGAUUAUUUUGACUGUGUUAGGGAAGAUGUGCUGCAGAGGGUCUGGAUGCAGGUGGGGAAGGGAGGAUGUGUUGCAGGAGGAUGUGUUGCAGAGUUAGUAUGUGCUGCAGAGGGUCUGGAUGCAGGUGGGGAAACUCCCUUUAGAGACCACUUCUCCCAGGUAAGAGAAGGCUGUAGCAGUGGAAUUGGAGAGAGAAGAAUGGACCAGAGCUAUUUUAAGGAAGACUAGGCUAGUGCUGGUUUUGAUUAGUGGAUGUCAAACUUAGUGGUCGUUUAGUAUUUUUAUAUGAAACCUUCAGCAGAAUCAACAGUGUGCUUCAUGAAGGCAGAGCCCAGAUUUGCUUUUCUUGCCAUUUUACUCCCAAGGCUUGGUAAUGUGCUCAGGAAAUGCUUAUUGACUGAAUGAGUUAGUGAAUAAACCAACAAAUAAGUAAAUAAAAAAAAGAAUGAAUCAAAGAAAUGACUCAGUAUUGGAUUAGACCAAGUGCAUAAGGGAAGAAGUUAAUGGACUCUCAAAUGACUUGCCGAAAAGAUUAAGUCAAUUUCUCUUUUCUUAUGCAAUAAAUUUUGUUUCCAAGCCUUUCUUAUGAGUAUUCUGUGUGGAAUAUAAAGCAACCAACUCAGCUCCACCAUUUAGCUAUUGGGAGACACAUGAAAGAGCCUGCCCAGCCCUGCCUGCCUCUGGGGGUCUCGGUCAUGUCAUGUGACUACAUCACUUGGCUCCGUUUCCAAGUUCCCCACCUCUAACCUCUCUGGAGCUCACAUUCAUCUUUCAAAAACAUCACUUCUGUUAUAUCACCCAUCACUCACUCCCUUCACUACACAUCUCUUUGCCCUGCUUUAGUUUUCAUCUGAGCACUUACUGUUUCCUGAUAUUACAUCAUUCAUUCGUUCAUUCAUUCAUUUUAUUUGGUUCUGUCUCUCUGUUAGUUUCCUAUUGCUGCAGUAGCAAAUUACCAUAAACUUAGUGGCUAAAAACACAGAUUUAUCUUGCAGUUCUUGAGGACAGAAAUCUGAAAUGGGCCUCACUGAGAUAAAGUCACUGUGACCAGGGCUGCAUUAUUUCUGGACGUUCCAGGGGACAAUCUUGUUUCCUUACCUCUUUCAGCUUCUAGAGCCUGCCCUCAUUUCUUAUUUUAUGGACCCCUUUGAUCUUUAAAGCUAGCAGAGGAAGCUUGAGUCUUUCUCAUGAUGCUAUCUCUCUGGUCUCACUCUUCUGCCUUCCACUUCCCCAUUCAAGGACUCUUGUGAUUAUAUUGGGCUCGCCUAGAUAAACCAGGAUAAUCUUAUUUUAAGGUCAGCUGAUUAGCAACUUUAAUUCUAGCUGCAAUUUUAAUUCCCCUUUGCCAUGUAACAACAUAUUUACAGAUUACAAGGAUUAGGAUGUGGAUGUCUUUUUUUUUUUUUUUUUUUUUUUUUUGAGACGGUGUCUUGCUCUGUCACCCAGGCUGGAGUGCAGUGGUGCAAUCUCGGCUCACUGAAACCUCCGCCUCCCGAGUUCAAGCAAUUCUCCUGCCUCAGUCUUCCAAGUAGCUGCAGGCAUGCGCCACCACGCCCAGCUAAUUUUUGUAUUUUUAGUAGAGACAGGGUUUCACCAUGUUGGGCAGGCUGAUCUUGAACUCCUGACCUUGUGAUCCACCCACCUCGGCUUCCCAAAGUGCUGGGAUUACAGGCGUGAGCCACCGCACCUGGCCCAGGAUAUGGAUGUCUUUGAGGGGCCAUUUCCUGCUCAGCACAAUCUGCCUCUUCUAGAAUUUAAGUCUCUUGAGAACAAAACCUUGUCUAUGUUGCUCUCUACAGUACAGCCAUUGAUUAGAAGAGGGCCAGUAUAUUGUAAGGAUGCAGUAAAUAUGCUUUGAAUAAAUCAGCAAAUCUUGUCCUUCUCUUUCACAAUCCACCUCAUACCAAGGUAGAAUAAUUUUCCUUCAUAUCAGCAUGGAUCAUAAUAUACUCUUUGAUAUGGUUUGGCUGUGUUCCCAUACAAAUCUUAUCUUGAAUUGUAGUUCCCAUAAUCCCCACGUGUCAUGGGAGAGAGCUGGUGGGAGGUAAUGAAUCAUGAGGGCGGUUACCCCCAUGCUGCUGUUCUCAUAAUAGUGAGUGAGUUCUUACAAGAUCUGAUGGUUUUAUAAGUUCCUAUUUUGCUCUGCACUUCUCUUUCCCGCUGCCAUGUGAAGAGGUACGUGUUUGCUUCCCCUUCUGCCAUGAUUGUAAGUUUCCUGAGGCCUCCCCAGCACUGUGGAACUGUGAGUCAAAUAAACCUCUUUCCUUUAUAAAUUACCCAGCUUGGUAUGCCUUUAUUAGAAUCAUAAGAAUGGACUAAUACACUCUUGCUCAGAGAACAUGAAUCGAGCACUUCUAGGUGAGAUGGCAGCUUGGCCCCAGCCACUUUGUUUUUCCU